UACAUGGGGUGCAAACGUUGCUCGGAAUUAUUGGGCGUAAAGCGCACGUAGGCGGUUCGUUAAGUCGGAUGUGAAAGCCCUCGGCUCAACUGAGGAAGUGCACCCGAAACUGGCGAGCUUGAGUACGAAAGAGGAUCGCGGAAUUCCCGGUGUAGAGGUGAAAUUCGUAGAUAUCAGGUGGAAUACCGGAGGCGAAGGCGGCUUACUGGCUAGACACUGACACUCAGAUCCGAAAGCGUGGGGAUCAAACAGG
rnacentral:rRNA from 1 species